rnacentral:rRNA from 3 species
UUAAGCGACUAAGCGUACACGGUGGAUGCCCUGGCAGUCAGAGGCGAUGAAGGACGUGCUAAUCUGCGAAAAGCGCCGGCGAGGUGAUAUGAACCUUUGACCCGGCGAUGUCCGAAUGGGGAAACCCAGUGCAAUCCGUUGCACUAUCGUUAACUGAAUACAUAGGUUAACGAGGCGAACCGGGGGAACUGAAACAUCUAAGUACCCCGAGGAAAAGAAAUCAACCGAGAUUCCCCCAGUAGCGGCGAGCGAACGGGGAGCAGCCCGGAGUCUGAAUCAGCUUGUGUGUUAGUGGAACGGUCUGGAAAGUCCGACGGUACAGGGUGAUAGUCCCGUACACGAAAGCACACAUGCUGUGAACUCGAAGAGUAGGGCGGGACACGUGGUAUCCUGUCUGAAUAUGGGGGGACCAUCCUCCAAGGCUAAAUACUCCUGACUGACCGAUAGUGAACCAGUACCGUGAGGGAAAGGCGAAAAGAACCCCGGCGAGGGGAGUGAAAAAGAACCUGAAACCGUGUACGUACAAGCAGUGGGAGCCUCUUUAUGGGGUGACUGCGUACCUUUUGUAUAAUGGGUCAGCGACUUAUAUUCUGUAGCAAGGUUAACCGUAUAGGGGAGCCGAAGGGAAACCGAGUCUUAACUGGGCGUUAAGUUGCAGGGUAUAGACCCGAAACCCGGUGAUCUAGCCAUGGGCAGGUUGAAGGUUGGGUAACACUAACUGGAGGACCGAACCGACUAAUGUUGAAAAAUUAGCGGAUGACCUGUGGCUGGGGGUGAAAGGCCAAUCAAACCGGGAGAUAGCUGGUUCUCCCCGAAAGCUAUUUAGGUAGCGCCUCGUGAACUCAUCUUCGGGGGUAGAGCACUGUUUCGGCUAGGGGGCCAUCCCGGCUUACCAACCCGAUGCAAACUACGAAUACCGAAGAAUGUUAUCACGGGAGACACACGGCGGGUGCUAACGUCCGUCGUGAAGAGGGAAACAACCCAGACCGCCAGCUAAGGUCCCAAAGUCAUGGUUAAGUGGGAAACGAUGUGGGAAGGCACAGACAGCCAGGAUGUUGGCUUAGAAGCAGCCAUCAUUUAAAGAAAGCGUAAUAGCUCACUGGUCGAGUCGGCCUGCGCGGAAGAUGUAACGGGGCUAAACCAUGCACCGAAGCUGCGGCAGCGACGCUUAUGCGUUGUUGGGUAGGGGAGCGUUCUGUAAGCCGUUGAAGGUGUCCUGUGAGGGGUGCUGGAGGUAUCAGAAGUGCGAAUGCUGACAUAAGUAACGAUAAAGCGGGUGAAAAGCCCGCUCGCCGGAAGACCAAGGGUUCCUGUCCAACGUUAAUCGGGGCAGGGUGAGUCGACCCCUAAGGCGAGGCCGAAAGGCGUAGUCGAUGGGAAACAGGUUAAUAUUCCUGUACUUGGUGUUACUGCGAAGGGGGGACGGAGAAGGCUAUGUCAGCCGGGCGACGGUUGUCCCGGUUUAAGCAUGUAGGCGGAGGUUCCAGGUAAAUCCGGUACCUUAUUAACGCUGAGGUGUGAUGACGAGGCACUACGGUGCUGAAGUGAUAAAUGCCCUGCUUCCAGGAAAAGCCUCUAAGCAUCAGGUAACACGAAAUCGUACCCCAAACCGACACAGGUGGUCAGGUAGAGAAUACCAAGGCGCUUGAGAGAACUCGGGUGAAGGAACUAGGCAAAAUGGUGCCGUAACUUCGGGAGAAGGCACGCUGAUAUGUAGGUGAAGUCCCUGCGGACGGAGCUGAAAUCAGUCGAAGAUACCAGCUGGCUGCAACUGUUUAUUAAAAACACAGCACUGUGCAAACACGAAAGUGGACGUAUACGGUGUGACGCCUGCCCGGUGCCGGAAGGUUAAUUGAUGGGGUUAGCGGCAACGCGAAGCUCUUGAUCGAAGCCCCGGUAAACGGCGGCCGUAACUAUAACGGUCCUAAGGUAGCGAAAUUCCUUGUCGGGUAAGUUCCGACCUGCACGAAUGGCGUAAUGAUGGCCAGGCUGUCUCCACCCGAGACUCAGUGAAAUUGAACUCGCUGUGAAGAUGCAGUGUACCCGCGGCAAGACGGAAAGACCCCGUGAACCUUUACUAUAGCUUGACACUGAACACUGGUCCUUGAUGUGUAGGAUAGGUGGGAGGCUUUGAAGCGUGGACGCCAGUCUGCGUGGAGCCAACCUUGAAAUACCACCCUUUAAUGGCUGGUGUUCUAACGUAGACCCGUAAUCCGGGUUGCGGACAGUGUCUGGUGGGUAGUUUGACUGGGGCGGUCUCCUCCCAAAGAGUAACGGAGGAGCACGAAGGUUGGCUAAUCCUGGUCGGACAUCAGGAGGUUAGUGCAAUGGCAUAAGCCAGCUUGACUGCGAGCGUGACGGCGCGAGCAGGUGCGAAAGCAGGUCAUAGUGAUCCGGUGGUUCUGAAUGGAAGGGCCAUCGCUCAACGGAUAAAAGGUACUCCGGGGAUAACAGGCUGAUACCGCCCAAGAGUUCAUAUCGACGGCGGUGUUUGGCACCUCGAUGUCGGCUCAUCACAUCCUGGGGCUGAAGUAGGUCCCAAGGGUAUGGCUGUUCGCCAUUUAAAGUGGUACGCGAGCUGGGUUUAGAACGUCGUGAGACAGUUCGGUCCCUAUCUGCCGUGGGCGCUGGAGAAUUGAGGGGGGCUGCUCCUAGUACGAGAGGACCGGAGUGGACGCAUCACUGGUGUUCGGGUUGUCAUGCCAAUGGCACUGCCCGGUAGCUAAAUGCGGAAGAGAUAAGUGCUGAAAGCAUCUAAGCACGAAACUUGCCCCGAGAUGAGUUCUCCCUGAGACCUUGAGUCUCCUGAAGGAACGUUGAAGACGACGACGUUGAUAGGUCGGGUGUGUAAGCGCAGCGAUGCGUUGAGCUAACCGAUACUAAUGAACCGUGAGGCUUAACCUU